GACGAACGCUGGCGGCGUGCUUAACACAUGCAAGUCGAGCGGAAAGGCUCCUUCGGGGGUACUCGAGCGGCGAACGGGUGAGUAACACGUGAGUAAUCUGCCCUUGGCUUCGGGAUAGCCACCGGAAACGGUGAUUAAUACCGGAUAUGACCACUCUAGGCAUCUAGUGGUGGUGGAAAGUUUUUCGGCCAGGGAUGUGCUCGCGGCCUAUCAGCUUGAUGGGGAGGUAAUGGGUCACCAUGGCUUCGACGGGUAGCCGGCCUGAGAGGGUGACCGGUCACACUGGGACUGAGACACGGCCCAGACUCCUACGGGAGGCAGCAGUGGGGAAUAUUGGACAAUGGGCGGAAGCCUGAUCCAGCAACGCCGCGUGAGGGAUGACGGCCUUCGGGUUGUAAACCUCUUUCGGUAGGGACGAAGCGCAAGUGACGGUACCUACUGAAGAAGCACCGGCCAACUACGUGCCAGCAGCCGCGGUAACAC
rnacentral:rRNA from 1 species